GAAAAAGGAACUUCUACUAAAACCGCACACCUCGUGUGUGCAGCGUAGAAGCCACCGCCUCCUGCGGA
rnacentral:sRNA from 1 species